rnacentral:rRNA from 1 species
CCUACGGGGGGCAGCAGUGGGGAAUAUUGGACAAUGGGCGAAAGCCUGAUCCAGCCAUGCCGCGUGUGUGAAGAAGGCCUUCGGGUUGUAAAGCACUUUCAGUGGGGAAGAAAGCCUUGGGGCUAAUACCCUCGAGGAAGGACAUCACCCACAGAAGAAGCACCGGCUAACUCCGUGCCAGCAGCCGCGGUAAUACGGAGGGUGCGAGCGUUAAUCGGAAUUACUGGGCGUAAAGCGCGCGUAGGCGGUCUGAUAAGCCGGUUGUGAAAGCCCCGGGCUCAACCUGGGAACGGCAUCCGGAACUGUCAGGCUAGAGUGCGGGAGAGGAAGGUAGAAUUCCCGGUGUAGCGGUGAAAUGCGUAGAGAUCGGGAGGAAUACCAGUGGCGAAGGCAGCCUUCUGGACUGACACUGACGCUGAGGUGCGAAAGCGUGGGUAGCAAACAGGAUUAGAUACCCUAGUAGUC